AGGAGCGCUGAAGGACCUGAAAAUAAAUGGGGCACACUAUCGACAGAAUCAAAUCCCAAAGCGAGGAUUUGCAGGGACUAGCUCGACAAUGCACUGGAGUCAUCAAGUGGGCACAUUUGGGAGAAAAGCUACUGCUACAAAUCUGUCAGAAGACGACUCGUUCAUGCUUUAUUAAAAAGGACAUGUGCAGGAGGAGCAACGGUCGCCCCUGAAUCUUUUUAGAAGAAUGGAGACAAGUCACCACCAUCUCUCUCUACCUCAGCCCUUUCCCUCAGGUUCACCCUUCAGCCAAUGUUGACAGGCCCUGUGGGAUUUAUCCACGCACAGACCUACAUGCAGUGCCAAAUUCUCCCUCCAACCAGCAUAUCCACCCAGAAGCCUGCAUUUGGGCAACAUCUAUCAUCAAACGCCUGACAUGGGACAUCCUUUUAACCAAAACAAGGAGUGCCAUCAGGACCUCCGAGGACACUUCCUUAUACCUGCAAACUUUCUCCUCCCUUCCAGAGUUGGAAGCAACAAUAAAGUGGCUGACAAAGUUCCAAAGGAGAAGAUUCAUCAUACUCAGAAGCUCCAUAAAGAAAGCUGGAUCCCAUCUACGAUCCCAUACAUUUUAUGAGAUCAACACUGAAGAGGUUAUAGUCAAGCAGUUAAGGUCAACUUUGUUCUCUUCUUCAGUACACGGUUUCACUGAGCGAGAAUGUUUUGACAACUGAAAUCGCUUCCAAAUAGUAAAGUAAUACCAGCAUUGUUUAUUGAGCAACUGGAACACAUGCAAGAUCAGAGCACAAAUAAAAAGCAGCAGGAUAUCA
rnacentral:lncRNA from 1 species